rnacentral:rRNA from 1 species
UACGAAGGGGGCUAGGCGUUGCUCGGAAUCACUGGGCGUAAAGGGUGCGUAGGCGGGUCUUUAAGUCAGGGGUGAAAUCCUGGAGCUCAACUCCAGAACUGCCUUUGAUACUGAGGAUCUUGAGUUCGGGAGAGGUGAGUGGAACUGCGAGUGUAGAGGUGAAAUUCGUAGAUAUUCGCAAGAACACCAGUGGCGAAGGCGGCUCACUGGCCCGAUACUGACGCUGAGGCACGAAAGCGUGGGGAGCAAACAGG